rnacentral:rRNA from 1 species
UACGUAGGCAGCGAGCGUUGUUCGGAGUUACUGGGCGUAAAGGGUGUGUAGGCGGUUGUUUAAGUUUGGUGUGAAAUCUCCCGGCUCAACUGGGAGGGUGCGCCGAAUACUGAAUGACUUCGAGUGCGGGAGAGGAGAGUGGAAUUCCUGGUGUAGCGGUGAAAUGCGCAGAUAUCAGGAGGAACACCGAUGGCGAAGGCAGCCAUCUGGACCGACACUGACGCUGAGGUGCGAAAGCAUGGGGAGCAAACAGG